rnacentral:rRNA from 1 species
AUUGAACGCUGGCGGAAUGCUUUACACAUGCAAGUCGAGCGGCAGCGCGGGGGCAACCCUGGCGGCGAGCGGCGAACGGGUGAGUAAUACAUCGGAACGUGUCCUUAAGUGGGGGAUAGCUCGGCGAAAGCCGGAUUAAUACCGCAUAAGCUCUGAGGAGGAAAGCGGGGGCUCCGUAAGGACCUCGCGCUGUUGGAGCGGCCGAUGUCGGAUUAGCUAGUUGGUGGGGUAAAGGCCCACCAAGGCGACGAUCCGUAGCUGGUCUGAGAGGAUGAUUAGCCACACUGGAACUGAGACACGGUCCAGACUCCUACGGGAGGCAGCAGUGGGGAAUUUUGGACAAUGGGGGCAACCCUGAUCCAGCCAUUCCGCGUGAGUGAAGAAGGCCUGG